CGACGCAACGCGAAGAACCUUACCUGGGCUCGAAAUGCAGUGGACCGGGGUGGAAACAUCCCUUUCCGCAAGGACUGCUGCAUAGGUGCUGCAUGGCUGUCGUCAGCUCGUGUCGUGAGAUGUUGGGUUAAGUCCCGCAACGAGCGCAACCCUUAUUGCCAGUUGCUAACACGUUAUGGUGAGCACUCUGGCGAAACCGCCCCGGAUAACGGGGAGGAAGGUGGGGAUGACGUCAAGUCCUCAUGGCCUUUAUGUCCAGGGCUACACACGUGCUACAAUGGCCGAUACAAACCGUCGCAAACCCGCGAGGGGGAGCUAAUCGGAAAAAGUCGGCCUCAGUUCGGAUUGUAGUCUGCAACUCGACUACAUGAAGCUGGAAUCGCUAGUAAUCGCGGAUCAGCAUCGCCGCGGUGAAUACGUUCCCGGGCCUUGUACACACCGCCCGUCACAUCACGAAAGUGAGUGGUACUAGAAGUCGGUUCGCUAACCGCAAGGGAGCAGCCGCCCAAGGUGUCAUUCAUGA
rnacentral:rRNA from 1 species